UGCCACAGCCAUAUCACCCUGCAGCCCAAGACUGGUUGCCCACUGAAGCUAAGCAGGUUUGAGCCUGGUCAGUACCUGGAUGGGAGAAAACUAAGUUGCUGCUGGAA
rnacentral:rRNA from 1 species